UCCCUGGUGGUCCAGUGGUUAGGACUCCAUGUUUCCACCACAGGGAGCCUGGGUUCGAUCCCUGGUCAGGGAA
rnacentral:tRNA from 1 species